AUACAUGCAAGUCGAGCGGACAGAUGGGAGCUUGCUCCCUGAAGUCAGCGGCGGACGGGUGAGUAACACGUGGGCAACCUGCCUGUAAGACUGGGAUAACUCCGGGAAACCGGGGCUAAUACCGGAUAAUUCUUUNCCUCACAUGAGGNAAAGCUGAAAGAUGGUUUCGGCUAUCACUUACAGAUGGGCCCGCGGCGCAUUAGCUAGUUGGUGAGGUAACGGCUCACCAAGGCAACGAUGCGUAGCCGACCUGAGAGGGUGAUCGGCCACACUGGGACUGAGACACGGCCCAGACUCCUACGGGAGGCAGCAGUAGGGAAUCUUCCGCAAUGGACGAAAGUCUGACGGAGCAACGCCGCGUGAGUGAUGAAGGUUUUCGGAUCGUAAAANUCUGUUGUUAGGGAAGAACAAGUACCGGAGUAACUGCCGGUACCUUNACGGUNCCUNACCAGAAAGCCNCGGCNNACUACGUGCCANCAGCCGCG
rnacentral:rRNA from 1 species